rnacentral:lncRNA from 1 species
AGUCCACUUCUGCCAGGCAAACACAGACAGUUUCUAGUUGCAAGAUAUCCCCCAUGGCAGAGAAAAAAAAAAGUUUCUUCUGGGAUGCAGACAAUCCAGGAAUCAGUGAUAAUCCACUGACCUUUCUAGGAAGUAAGAGCAAAGAACAAACAGGUUAGAUUCUGAGAAGCUGUUUCUAAGUUUGAUGGUUUUUUUUUUCCUAAGCCUGAGGCACUGAGAAGGGUUCAAGCUUGUAUUCUCCAGAUGCAAGGGUGCAAAUAAAGCCCGAUUUCCACUGGCAGCUAUUAUAACCAGGAGAGGAUCCUGCCUUUGGCUAAGGCCAGCGGAAAGGAAGGCAAAUGGAGAGACACAAAGAGCCUGAAUCUUUGAGCCAUCACUCAGUUGCGAUCAAACUGCCUGGAACCCACCCCACCCCGAUCGCCUGCUCGGACAAAAAUAACUGAAGCUCCCAUUGUUCAAACCAGCUUGUGUCAUGGUUUCUGAUGUUUAUAACUAAGACCAAUUCAAACAAUACAAUAUUUUAAAUCUUUAUUAUUUUUUAAGGAAACAAUAGCUUAAGGGUAAAAACUCAUCUCUAAUUGUAAAAAAAAAUUAUCUCUAAUUGUAGGCUUUUGAAGUUAGGGUCGGUCAGUAUUUUUAGAUAGAAUCUUUCAAAACUCAGGAGAGAGACUCAGCUUAUUUCAUGUGUAUGAUGAGGAUGUCUCCUUUAUUCUUUUUCCUGCUAUCACACUUAUGCCAGGCUUUCUUUCAAAACUUAACUCACCCAGCUCCUUGUCUUUGAAGCCUUCUUUUAAUUCUUCUCCCACAUUCCCCAAAACCAAGUCAAUUCUCUCCCUCAGUGCCCUCAUGUGUAUAAAUUGCAUAUCAUAUGGCAUUUUUUUCAUGUCUGUAAGACUCCCAAUUUCCCAAAGGCGAGGUUACUGUCAUUUUCUUCUGUAUCUACAGUGACCAUCACAUGAAAAGUACUCCAUAAAGGUGUUAAGGAUGGAAUUGUGUCCCCAACCCCAAAAUUCAUGUGUUGAAGCCCUCACCCUCGAUGUGACCAUAUUUGGAGAUAGAUAGGGCCUUUAAAGAGGUAAUUAAGUUAAAUGAAGUCAAAAUAGUGGGGCCUAGUAUCAUAUGACCGAUGUCCUUAUAGGAAGAGGAGAGACACCAGGGAUGUGCACACACAGAGGGGAGUCCAUGGGAGGACGGGGCAAGAAGGUGGCUGUCCUCGAGCCAGAGAGAGGCCUCAGAAGAAACCCAACUUGCUGGCACCUUGAUCUUGAACUUUCGGCCUCCAGAACUGUGAGAAAAUAAAUUCCUGUUGUUUAAGCCACCCAGCCUGUGGUAUUUUCUUAUGGCAAUCCAGGCAGACUAAUCCAACAAGAGUGCUGAAUGAAUGAAAGUCCUUUAAGAAAGAGAGUUCACGUGUAUACAUUAAUCUGCUGCUAUUAAGCACUUAUUUCUCACUAUCCCAAGAGUAUGAUUUUAUGAAAACUCUGACAAAUUAGUUUAAUUUAAUGUUUGUUAAGAAAAGGAAGAAAACAUCAAAACAGUAUAUCUGUUUGCCAUAGAAAACAUAAAGAGAUUUUCUCCAUAAGUCCUUUUGUAUCCCUAAUUUAUGAUUUUUUUGUUUUUCGGUUUGUUUUAAAGAGAGUAUGAUGAACCCAGUGGAGACCUGGGAACUAUACCCAAAAAGGAAACAGGACCAAAGAAAGAGGUUGCUUUCAUCUCCCAUGAAAGCAAGGCUGUUUUUGUUGAUACAUAUGGAAAAAAUCAGGGCCAAUUAUACAUUGUGAUUUGGCACCGAGGUUGCAGCCUCACCACAGGCCUUUACUUUCUUUCCACAGAUUUACUGUUACAGCACACUGAAGUCCUGAGCCCUCCGCCACCCGCAAGGCCUUCCUCGGAGACAGGGACCUAUCCAGAGAUGUCUCUGUCACUGUCAGGAUGCGCUGCAAGUGGACAAAGGGUUUCCUUCGUGUUGACCCUAAGAAGACCUCGACUUGAUCAAGGAAGAACUGAGCAUGGCUUGCAGUAGAGACAGUCACACACAGCUUCCCAUGAAUAGGUGUGGGCCUGAUCAUCUUAGCACCUUCUCUAGCCUUCAAGAAGCUCUCAAAAUCAGGGCCAUCUUGGUAUUUCACUAGCUGCUUCUUUCUUUUUUUGAUAUUUUAAGAGACAGGGACUUGCUAUGUUGCCCAGGUUGGACUUGUAUUCCUGGGCUCAAGCCAUUAUCCUGCCCCAGGGCUCCCAAGUAGCUGGGACUACAGGCCUGUGCCACCUCACCCACCCUCGCUGUUUAUUUCAAUGAACUGCAGGUUGAUGAUGAUCAAUCUUCUUUCCUAAUCUCCUGGUUGAAAUUAGGGAUAUUCAGAUUUUUUUGAAGUGGAGACUAUCAGGGUGUUAGAAGACCUAGUUCUGAACCUGCUCUCUGCUAACUUACCAUACGACUUUAGGCAAGUUGCUGCCCCACUAAGAACUUCAGUCUUAUCUGUGAAAUCAAGGGACUGGACUAAGUGGUCUCCGAGAUCCCCUCCAGCUGAAACCAUCUCCUGUACUGUCCACUAUUAUAGCAAAUAACCACACAUGGCUGAUUAAAUCUAAAUUAAUGAAAUAAAAGUCAGAAUGUAGUUCCUCAAUCUCACUAAUCAUAUGUCAAGGGCUUUAAUAGCCAUGUGUGGCCAGUGGCUGCCAGGUUGAACAGUGUAGUUCUCCUGCUCUCAUUUUAUUGAUGAUCAUGGUUUCAUAACAAAACCUGCCAGUUGAAGACCACUUUCACGUGUAUGGUGCAUUUUAAUACACGCUUACAUUUAACUACCCAAAAUAGGCAAGAGAGAUAUUCUAAUAUCUGCCUUAUCAGAUGAGGACACUAACUCAAAGAGUAAAUUACUUGCUAUAGGGUCAUACCACUAAUGACUAAAUGUAGUUUCCAAGCCCAGGACUCUCUAACACAUGGUACAAAGUCAUGACGAGAAGACAUGUGCCCCCUGGCCAAAACUAUUCAACCCAUGGUAGCACCAGAACUGAGAUCCAGGGAUUAAGGGCUGAUCUGGAGACCCUGUGCCUUGGUGUAGACCUUAGCUCAGCACAUCCUAGCUGUGUGACCAUGGGCAAGUUAUUUAAUAUCUCUGGGCUCCUUUCUAGUCCUCUGUUAAAUGGGAAUGACCACAGGAUCCACUGCUUAUGAGAACUGCACAAGUAGAUGCAAAUAAAAUGCUUUGCAUGGGAGGUCAGGCACCUAACAAUGGCUCACUUAGCAUCGCCACUGCCUUCAUUUUACUCCAGGCCCUUGCACGUCCUCACUGCCCCAAAUAGACCGAUGGCCCCUGCAGCCUUACUCCCAACUUGUCUAAAGAAAGUUGCUACUCUUAGGCAUGGACAACAGCUUGCUUUUUGAAACCUACUGAGUAGUUUGGCCUCAUAGCCUCCUGGGGCUGUGAGCACUCUGUAUUAAUUACAAGUUGUACAGGAAGAGCGCUUUCUGAGGGAUCGGAUUAACCCACCUGGGCAGUGUGCCAUGAGCAAAUGGCUUUUCCCCCUAUAAUUUUUUGAAACUCUUCAGUGGCAGGAACCCACCAUAUACCUGCCCCCAAGGAAGACCUGACCCACAGUAGGUGCCACCAGUGCAUAUGGCAAGAGGGGUGAGGAGGUGUAGGGGCCACCCCAAGAGCCUCCAGCACAGCACUCUGCCCUGGAGCAGGGUACAACAGACUGCAAAGCUGGCUCUGCCCAGACUAAAUUUUAUCUUCUGCAAAAGGCAAAGCAGACACACAUAUCCCCUGGUGAUGGUUUUUCCUUCCCUGUCCCACCACAGUGUACUGUUUGAAAGAACAAUAUUUACACUGAUGUUGCAGCAGGAGUGGGGGCCAGGCUACAAAGCGGAAACUGGGCUCCACCAGAGCAGGAGGGAGGGUCUGGGCCCAGCACCGACUCCAGAGGUGUUUUCCUCUGCCCUCCUAUCCUCUCAGGGGCCUGCCCUGGGGACUGAGGAAGCCAGGAAGGAUCAUCUGGCCCCAUGUCACUUCUCCAGGGGCCAGGAAUGGAACUACCAUCAGAACCUAGGUCACUCUUAAUGCAGGAAAAUGAAUAGCUACUGGAUGCAGCUAUUGGGCAUCCAUGGAAUGCAAGAUGCAGCGUGAACCAUUAACAGUGGCUUCUAUCUGCUGGUUUCCACAUAACACAACCAAGGCCACAGGCAUGCCAAUGUAGAGGAGGCACUCAGUCACUCACAUGCUUAUUUAUUUGUUCAUUCAUUCAACAAUGACUUACUGAGCACUUGGUCUCAGGGAUGAUUUUGCGCUAAGUAAAACAUGGUUCCUUUAGCAAGAAAUUCAAUAACCAGUGGGGAACACAGAAGGACAAAAAUCAAAUUAUAGUAUGUUAAGUGCUAAAACUGAGACACAAAGAGUUAAGGGGUGCACAGAGAUCCAGGGUCCUCUUCCAGGAGGAGAUGUAUGGGAUCUGGGUCUCAGUAGGCAAAUGAGAAUUUGUGUUGGGCUGGGGGGUGGGGGGUAUCAGGGGAGCAAUCUUGUGCAGCCUUAUAGACCACUGUAGAGACUUUUACUCCGAGAGACGUGGAGAGCCCUUGGAGGGUGUGGGGCAGAGGUGUGAUAUGAUCCGAAUGUGCAUUUUCAUGGGAUCACUCUAGCUGUUCUGUUGAUAACAGAUUGGGAUUGGGAGGGGGAGAAUGGAAGCAAGGAGACCAGUUAGGGGAUUAUUGCAAAAUUCAAGUGAAAGUUGAUGGGGGCUUAUUGACUCAAGCCCCUAAAAAAAAUUGUCACUGCCUUUAUUUUAGCAGAGCCUGCUAUAUAGUAGAUGUACAAUCAGUGUUAAAUUAUACCAGCCAUUCGUGAUAUUUUUUAACCACCUGGCCAGAGCAAACCUUCUCCCUUCUUCGGCAGCUGUCAGAGUCUCUAUCUUCCCAUUUAUUGUGCUCAUUUUCCUCUAAGUCUUCAAAUAACCACCAGGCCUGUCGAGUUUCCCUUCAUAGUACCCUCUCUGGAUCUAAGCGCUUUGCAGAGUGUCUGCCCCAUCUCUGGGGUGGUUGGAAAUCAAUUAAGGGGAUCCUGCUUUGGAGAAUCAUACCAGUUCAAGCCAGGUUCGAUCAUGAGGGUACCCUAAAAAUUCCCACAGACCCAGUCAUUGCUCUUACGGUUCAGUACCAGAGAUAUGGAAAGACAGAUAUCAAAAUGCCACGUGAGUACAAUAGACACCAUUCUUCCCGGAGUUCCUAGGAGAUACCUUGGCUGUCUUACAGAAGACCCUCUUUUGUUUCAUCUCUCUCCCUUCUAGGGUGAGCAGUGUCCUUAAAGGAAGCAUUUAGAGGAAAAUGUCUCCACAAGCCUGAUCCCUUUCUCUGAAAGCAUAAUAAUGCUCAAGAAUGACAACAAUGUAAAUCGCCAGGAUCAUUAGCGGAACCUCGAUGAAUUAAAAUGGCUCACAUCAGGGUAAGAUUAGGUCAGCUGCAUUGAAGGGAGCCAGAGUGCUGGGGUUUGCUGACUUCCAAGCAUUUCAAAACCAAAUAUUGUCAGAGCCCCACCGUCUCAGUCUCAGCAGCAUGGAUAGUCAACCCCUGAUAAGAUCAUCCUUGUCUGGAAAGGACCAAAUUACCGUGCUGUUCAGUCUCUAAGACCCCUUCAUUACCCAUCCCGCAAAGACAAAUUACCCUGGAAAUGCUGAAAGGAGUGAGCCUCUAAAAAGGCUCCAUCUGCUCCAUGGAGAAAGGGCUACUUCUGCUCACAACACAGGUGGAGGUGAAGGGCUAUGCAGAAAGUCCAAGAGUUCGCCUCAAGAGAAAAAUGGCAUUGAAAUCAUCAAGCAAGCCCAGGAAAGUCUGAAUGCCCCAAGAGGUGAAAAUCCUAAAAGCAAAAUAGAGCCAUUAUGUCUCAAGCCGAGGGAAAGCUUGAGAGAUUCUGGUGCCUGAAACAAAUAACAGGAAAACUAUGUCA